AAAAGCAUAGUACUGUGCCUGGGCAGGACGAGGCCAGAGGAAACUCUGGUGGAGGUCCGUAGGGAUUCUGACGUGCAAAUCGAUCGUCAGAUCCAGGCCUAGGGGCGAAAGAGUAAUCGAACCAUCUACUAGCU
rfam:Stegodyphus mimosarum contig3702, whole genome shotgun sequence.